rnacentral:rRNA from 1 species
GACGAACCACACAAACGUUAUUCGGAAUUACUGGGCUUAAAGGGUGCGUAGGCUGCGCGGAAAGUUGGGUGUGAAAUCCCUCGGCUCAACCGAGGAACUGCGCUCAAUACUACCGUGCUCGAGGGAGACAGAGGUAAGCGGAACUUAGGGUGGAGCGGUGAAAUGCGUUGAUAUCCUAAGGAACACCCGUGGCGAAAGCGGCUUACUGGGUCUCUUCUGACGCUGAGGCACGAAAGCUAGGGUAGCGAACGGG